rnacentral:rRNA from 1 species
AACGAACGCUGGCGGCAUGCCUAACACAUGCAAGUCGAGCGAGACCUCCGGGACUAGUGUCGCACGGGUGCGUCACGCGUCGGAACCUGCCCUUAGGUUCGGCAUACCUCCCCGACAGGGGUGCUAAUACCGGAUCAUGUCUUCGGACCAAAGAUUUAUUGCCUUUGGAUGGGCCAGCGUUGGAUUAGCUAGUUGUGAGGGUAAUAGCCUACCAAGGCGACGAUCCAUAGCUGGGCUGAGAGGAUGAUCAGCGACACUGGGACUGAGACCCGGCCCAGACUCCUACGGGAGGCAGCAGUGGGGAAUAUUGGAAAAUGGCCGAAAGCCUGAUCCAGCAAGGACGCGAGAGUGAUGAAAGCCUUAGGGUUGUAAAGCGCUUUUACCCGGGAUGAUAAUGACAGUACCGGGAGAAUAAGCUCCGGCUAACUCCGUG